CAGCGGUUGGUCAUCGCAGCUAAAGCUAAACUUAAUAACUGACAGCUAACGCUAACGAGCUGACGUUACUUGUAUUUCAGCUAUUUUAACUGACGUUUAGGGUGGAGUUACGGUCAUGGAUGUCUAAAGAGAACUGGAUACAGCGUUGGAGGCACCGUUCACUCAGUGUUGGCAAACUGUGGUCCCUUACAGUAAAGGGAGUAAUUGGGUCUGAAAGAAAAGCUGAUCUGAUCCGGUGCCAUGAAGCGCAUUACCGUGUGAAACGUUCAAUGACCAGAGGACUACAUCAUUCUGACAUUCAUUUGCAAAAUUAAUACCACAUAUUGAUUGAGGCCUUUUCAUAAAUCACCAGACUGAGAGCCCUUCCCCCUGACUGACAAAGAAAGGCUCCCUUUGGAGACUCAA